GUUGUAUAGUCAAGUAAUUAAGUGCAUGUGGUGGAUGCCUUGGCAGUCAGAGGCGAUGAAAGACGUGAUAGCCUGCGAAAAGCUCCGGGGAGGCGGCAAAUAUCCUUUGAUCCGGAGAUUUCUGAAUGGGGGAACCCACCUACUUUAAGGUAGGUAUUGCAACAUGAAUACAUAGUGUUGCAAGGCGAACGAGGGGAAGUGAAACAUCUCAGUACCCUUAGGAAAAGAAAUCAAUUGAGAUUCCCUCAGUAGCGGCGAGCGAACGGGGAUCAGCCCAUUAAGUUAUGUGUGUUUUAGUGGAACGCUCUGGGAAGUGCGAACGUAGAGGGUGAUAUUCCCGUACACGAAAGGGCACACAUAAUGAUGACGAGUAGGGCGAGGCACGUGAAACCUUGUCUGAAUAUGGGGGGACCAUCCUCCAAGGCUAAAUACUCCUGACUGACCGAUAGUGAACCAGUACCGUGAGGGAAAGGCGAAAAGAACCCCUGUGAGGGGAGUGAAAUAGAUCCUGAAACCGCAUGCAUACAAGCAGUGGGAGCACCUUCGUGGUGUGACUGCGUACCUUUUGUAUAAUGGGUCAGCGACUUAUAUUCAGUAGCAAGGUUAACCGUAUAGGGGAGCCGUAGAGAAAUCGAGUCUUAAUAGGGCGUUUAGUUGCUGGGUAUAGACCCGAAACCAGGCGAUCUAUCCAUGAGCAGGUUGAAGGUUGGGUAACACUAACUGGAGGACCGAACCCACUGUCGUUGAAAAGCCAGGGGAUGACUUGUGGAUAGGGGUGAAAGGCUAAUCAAGCCUGGUGAUAGCUGGUUCUCCCCGAAAGCUAUUUAGGUAGCGCCUCGGACGAAUACCAUAGGGGGUAGAGCACUGUUUCGGCUAGGGGGUCAUCCCGACUUACCAAACCGAUGCAAACUCCGAAUACCUAUGAGUACUAUCCGGGAGACAGACUGCGGGUGCUAACGUCCGUAGUCAAGAGGAAAACAAUCCAGACCGCCAGCUAAGGCCCCAAAAUCAUAGUUAAGUGGGAAACGAUGUGGGAAGGCAUAGACAGCUAGGAGGUUGGCUUAGAAGCAGCCACCCUUUAAAGAAAGCGUAAUAGCUCACUAGUCGAGUCGGCCUGCGCGGAAGAUGUAACGGGGCUAAAACUAUGUGCCGAAGCUGCGGAU
rnacentral:rRNA from 1 species